GCGUGAGUGAUGAAGGCCUUAGGGUUGUAAAGCUCUUUCGCACGCGACGAUGAUGACGGUAGCGUGAGAAGAAGCCCCGGCUAACUUCGUGCCAGCAGCCGCGGUAAUACGAAGGGGGCUAGCGUUGUUCGGAAUUACUGGGCGUAAAGGGCGCGUAGGCGGUUUUGUCAGUCGGAAGUGAAAGCCCCGGGCUCAACCUGGGAACUGCUUUCGAUACUGCAAGACUUGAGUUCCGGAGAGGAUGGUGGAAUUCCCAGUGUAGAGGUGAAAUUCGU
rnacentral:rRNA from 1 species